rnacentral:rRNA from 1 species
AGAGUUUGAUCCUGGCUCAGGAUGAACGCUGACAGAAUGCUUAACACAUGCAGGUCUUUGGCGAAGCUGUGCUUGCACAGCCUAGCCAAGGCGGACGGGUGAGUAACGCGUAAGGGACUUGCCCUGCAGUCAGGGAUAACAGACGGAAACGACUGAUAAGACCUGGUAAAGUCAGGCGGACUCAUGUCCAGCCUGAUGAAAAGGAAUGCUGCAGGAGAGCCUUGCGUCCUAUUAGCUUGUUGGUGGGGUAACGGCCCACCAAGGCGAUGAUAGGUAGCCGGCCUGAGAGGGUGGGCGGCCACAAGGGGACUGAGAUACGGCCCUUACUCCUACGGGAGGCAGCAGUGGGGAAUAUUGGACAAUGGGGGCAACCCUGAUCCAGCAAUUCUGUGUGCACGAUGAAGGUCUUCGGAUUGUAAAGUGCUUUCAGCAGGGAAGAAAAAAAUGACGGUACCUGCAGAAGAAGCGACGGCUAAAUACGUGCCAGCAGCCGCGGUAAUACGUAUGUCGCGAGCGUUAUCCGGAAUUAUUGGGCAUAAAGGGCAUCUAGGCGGCCCUGUAAGUCUAGGGUGAAAACCUGCGGCUCAACCGCAGGCCUGCCCCGGAAACUACAGGGCUAGAGUGCUGGAGAGGUGGACGGAACUGCACGAGUAGAGGUGAAAUUCGUAGAUAUGUGCAGGAAUGCCGAUGAUGAAGAUAGUUCACUGGACGGCAACUGACGCUGAAGUGCGAAAGCUAGGGGAGCAAACAGGAUUAGAUACCCUGGUAGUCCUAGCUGUAAACGAUGAUUACUGGGUGUGGGCAUGAAGAGUGUCCGUGCCGAAGCAAAUGCGAUAAGUAAUCCGCCUGGGGAGUACGGCCGCAAGGCUGAACUCAAAGGAAUUGACGGGGACCCGCACAAGCGGUGGAGCAUGUGGUUUAAUUCGACGCAACGCGAGGAACCUUACCAGAUUCUUGA